rnacentral:rRNA from 1 species
CCUACGGGUGGCAGCAGUAGGGAAUUUUGCGCAAUGGGCGAAAGCCUGACGCAGCGACGCCGCGUGAACGAGACGCCCUUCGGGGUGUAAAGUUCUGUCAGUGGGGACGAAAGAUGACGGUACCCACAGAGGAAGCACCGGCUAAAUCCGUGCCAGCAGCCGCGGUAAUACGGAGGGUGCAGGCGUUGUCCGGAAUAUAUGGGCGUAAAGCGUUCGGAGGCGGUAUGUUAAGUCUGGUGUUAAAUGCAGAAGCACAACUUCUGUUCGGCACUGGAUACUGGCAAACUAGAAUGCGGGAGAGGUAAAGGGAAUGCGUGGUGUAGCGGUGAAAUGCUUAGAUAUCAGGAGGAACAUCGGUGGCGUAAGCGCUUUACUGGGCCGUAAUUGACGCUGAGGAACGAAAGCCAGGGUAGCAAAUGGGAUUAGAUACCCCUGUAGUC